CCGACCGAUUGACACCCCUAGGUACAAGUCAGUGUGUUAAUUUCAUUCACAAGUUUUUUUAUUUUUUAUUUUUUUCCUAUUUUUUGAUUGAACCAAAUUGGUUCCUAGUGAACCAAAAAUCAAUUCAAAACAAAUUAAAUGGUUCAAGGUGGUCUGACAAAUCGGUUCGAACUGGACCAAACCAGUUGGGUCGGGUCGACCCAUUUCCCUAUCAACGUUUGACUGUUGAUCGGUCAAGGGUUGACUGUUGACUGUAUUUUUUUGUUUGCUUGGAAACAUUUUGUGAAACUCUUUUAUUAGUUUCACUUUUGAUUCAGUUUCUAUUUCUUAAAGUGUAUUCUUUUAUAAAUAGAAUCAUAAAUAGAUUUGUUUUGCUUUCUGUUUAUUUCUAGAAUUGAUUUACGUGAACAAAUUACAUAAAUAUGUUUGUUUCUGUUUCUAUUUAUUUUUUACAGUAAUUUAUAUAAACAGAAUAUGAAAUAGGCCUAUUUCUACCUCCUUUUCAUGCCUUCUAUUUAUAUAAAUAGAAACAGAAUUUAGUUUGGAUUCAUUUAUGAUGUAAAACCAAAUGUAAAUAGCCUAUUUUAUGCAUUAGAAAGUGUAUAAAUUGUUAUAUAAACAGAACCAAACAUUAAUAAACAACUGUGAUAAUGAAUAUACACUAGAUUUCUCAAUAUUUAUAAAUCUGUUUACCCACCAUAAUUGUAAUUUUGGGAUGUGCCAUGUGAUAUUUUAUUUAUGAGAUUAUCAUAGUGGGUCGCUUACAUGGACUUAGGUUUGGAAUGUUUCCAUUUAAUAGGCUGAAAUAGUCCAUAAUAUUGUAUUGCACUCAAAACUGAACCCAUGAGCCAUGUCUGCAAUCUUGUUGAUGGGAUUCUAUGACUUGAGUGACGAUGCUUCCGUUCAACGGUCUAGUUUCUCGGGGCAUGGAACCACCACCGGCAGUGUUUAUAGAUUGCCCUCGAGGAGACCAUAUGAUAAACUUCGUGCUCUUGCCACCACAGGUGAGUCUUCAUUUGGUCGAUCCUGCUCGAUCGAGCAAGGGUGAUGUUAUUGAGCUUCAUGGAAUUGGGAGUCUUUGUCUUGCCACCACAGAUGACGGGAUUUCUAAUGAAGUGUUAUUUAAAGCAUCUCAUUUUUCUAAGAAAGAGCACUGUGUAUUGGGCGAUCUUGUCACCACAGGUGUGACCCCAAUGACGUAGGAUCUUUCACCCAGUUCUUUUGAGUUUUCCUAUUAUUUUGUUAUGGGAACGAGACUGGUAGAAAUUUGAUCAUUUGCCCACUUGGUCAUAUUUAUUAUUUUUUAUUAGUGCUAUUGUUAUGAUACAUGCUUUGUUAUGCAUAUUUUGGUAAACUAAUUUUUGUGUUUACUAGCUAUGGCAUCCCACUUUGCAUCAAUCAAGGCACUUAAUGGCACUAAUCAUGAGGAGUGGCUUGAAUCCAUAACUGUGACGCUGGCAAUCAUGUGUUUGGACACUUCUUUGUUAACUAAUGAGCCUCCCAAACCCACAGUUAAAAGCAAUACUAAAGCCAAAACACUCUCCAAAGAGUGAGAGGAAUCAAACUAUUUGUGUACCUUGGUUAUAAGGAACACCAUUGAUAAGCCUAUUAGAGAGAGUAUAAUUGAACCAAAAAAGACCAAGGAUUUUCUGGCAGCAGUUGCCAAGAAAUUUCAAAAAUUUAACAAGGCAGAAAUGGAAACAUAUUUGAAGAUGUUUUCAAACACAAAGUAUGAUGGUGUUGGUGGAGUUCGCAAUCACAUUUUGAAAAUGACUAUGUAUGCGAACAAGUUGUCUGCUAUGAAAGUAAAAAUAUCUGAUGCAUUCCUAGUAUGACAGAUUAUAGAAUAUCUCCCUGCUCAAUUUGAUUCCCUCAAGACAUCCUACAAUGCAAAUAGUCUGCAAUGGGAUAUUGAGCAGAUGACCUCCAUCCUUGUGCAAUAAGAGGAGUCAAAGAAGCUUGAUGGAAAUACUGUUCAUUUGGUUACUAAUGAAGCUAGGAAGAACACCCAAAAUGAUGGAAAGAAAUGGAAGAAGUUUAAAGGAAAUUCUAGAAAUUUCAAGAAGACUGGUCAGUCCUUUAAGCCUAAACAGGACAAUUUCAAAGGCAAAGGUUAGGGUUCCAAGGGUUUUAAAGGCAAGUACAAUUAAUACAAGAAGGUUGGUCACAAGAAAGCUGAUUGCUAUAGUUUCAAGACCUUGAAAGAGAAGAACGCUGCACUACUGGUUUCCCAUCUCCAAGAUAUGAUCAUAGGAUCUAAGAAACAAAAGGAGACCAAAUGAUGGGGAGCUGCACAUUUACGUAGGGAAUGGCGAGAGGAUCCAAGUAUAGGAGUAGUUGAUCUAACUUUUACUUCUAGUUAUGUUUUGGAGUUAGACAAUGUGGUUUAUGUACCGUCACUUAGACGGAAACUUAUUUCAGUUUCAAGAAUGGAUAGCAAAGGUUUUGUGCUUAACAUUGCUAAUAAUAAAAUGGUUUGUUAUUUUGGAUCCCAA